rnacentral:rRNA from 1 species
GACGAACGCUGGCGGCGUGCUUAACACAUGCAAGUCGAACGGAAAGGCCCUGCUUUUGUGGGGUGCUCGAGUGGCGAACGGGUGAGUAACACGUGAGUAACCUGCCCUUGACUUUGGGAUAACUUCAGGAAACUGGGGCUAAUACCGGAUAGGAGCUCCUGCUGCAUGGUGGGGGUUGGAAAGUUUCGGCGGUUGGGGAUGGACUCGCGGCUUAUCAGCUUGUUGGUGGGGUAGUGGCUUACCAAGGCUUUGACGGGUAGCCGGCCUGAGAGGGUGACCGGCCACAUUGGGCUUGGGCUACGACACGGACUAGUACGGGACGCAGCAGUGGGGUAUGUAGCAUUAUGGGCGGAAGCCUGAUGCAGCAACGCCGCGCGCGGGAUGAGGGCCUGCGGGUAGUAAACCGCUUUCGCCUGUGACGAAGCGUGAGUGACGGUAAUGGGUAAAUAAGCACCGGCUAACUACGUG